AUUAUGCACUGACAACAUGCUGUGCUGCAAUAUGGUUCUCCGGCUUGGAGCUGUCUGUCCAUUAACAGCAUUGUCCUACUGCAGUAACCCCAGAGCACGACAAUUGGCACACAGACUUCUUAACCACUUAAGAGAGUAUCGCAAUAGAAAAGGUGAUGGGCAGGGUGUGGAUCUUGGGAGGAUAUCUCUUCAGACUUAGACCGUUUGGCACUCUCAAGAGUCAAGAGAUAUAAGUAAGAAGUUAGCUAGUCAAUUUUCUAACCAUACUAUGGCGUCACAUGAUGAAGACUCCCAUUUACACCAUCAUCAUACUACUUCUGCAUCCAACGAAAAUUCAAAUUUAAAUUGUUUGCAUGCAACUGCUGGUCAUAGAAUUGAGGUUUCUUCACACUCAUCAGC